GGGCAUAGCUCAGUGGUAGAGCAUCAGCUUCCCAAGCUGGGGGUCGCGGGUUCGAAUCCCGUUGCCC
rnacentral:tRNA from 1 species